UCCCGUUCCCAGGGGAGCCUCGUUCAGGAGGCUGAGACACCCGCCGGCCCGGUCCUUCGCGUCCAGGCGACGCGGCAACCCUUCGAACCUGAUCCGGGUCAUGCCGGCGUAGGGAUGCGGGACGAGAAGGCCU
rnacentral:ncRNA from 2 species